UUUUCCCUCAAUUUUUCACCCAAAACCGUUCCCCCUCUCUCGAAACCCUCACUAUGAGCGCAAACUCAAAACCUAGCCACCCCCUCGCCCUCGCUUCUCUGUCUCUCUAUUUAUGUGUGAUGGAGAAACUUAAUUUUCUCCGCUUCCAUCUGCUGCAUCAACUCUGUCCUAAUGAAUCAGCCAUUAAAAUUGUUAGGAUUGAGUCAAUUGACUUUCUUGCCUCGAUGGAAUGAGUGAACUUGCAAGGAUCAUGCUCAAGAAGGAGUAGCUGGCAAUUGUUGUUGCGUCACUAGCCCAUAGUCGCCAUGUUGGUUCAAAACGAGUUUGUUAGCCGCUUGAAAAUGUGUGGAGAUUAUCAUAUUUAUUAUCUAUCGAUGAUUGCUUCUCCAUUGAGCUUCAAAUAUGAUUCAGUUAAAGAGGCAUAGCUGCAUGUAGCCUUAUCAAUCAAAUAUGCACCAGGAAGUUGAUGGAGUUCUUAUAUAUGAUAGACUGCAUAUAAAGGACAUCACUUUUGCCUUCUCUACUAGCAGGAGCUACCAAUAUGACGAGUAACAGUGUUUCUGGAUCUCUUCCUUAAAGUUGACUUGGAUCUUUUUUUCUUCUUUUACAAGUGCGAAUAAUGUUUGGUUACUUUACAGUGGAGGGUUUAAACUUGAAACUGAAUCUUGCAAGUUUAAUUUUUUUCACGCCAUUGAGAGCGAUAAAAGGACACCUCUGGAACCAAACCACGCAGCAGUGGAUAGGACACAAGAAGCCUGUCAACCAACUAGAACUGCUUCGUGAACUUAAACUAAAGUGAGAUGUUUAUAUCCUUUUUCCAAAUAGUCUGAUUUGUCUUAGUUCCCUGUAUUGCCUUAGAAGAAUGGCUUAAAAUGAAAUAGCAACAACAGGUCUUUUUCUUCUUACUGAAUAAAUGAGACAUUAUAUUGUUGUUGAUCUUCCAUUCCCUUUGAUAUAGAGGCAUAAAAUAUACCUAAUAGAAAAUAUAUAUGGAGGCAUAACAUACAGGUGAUUGGCAUGCAGGUAAAGGUUGGAAUCUAAAAAAUUCUUUGGAGAAGGUGUAAGUUUUGGGUGGCGGUGAUUUAAUGGUCUUAAAGUACUGAAAUUUCUGAUCUUCAACAUUUGGUGUUCUAAAUUGUUGGCAUUACAACAUCUAGAGCAGUUUUUGUUUAUAAUUUGCUCAACUUAAUCUCUUUUCUUAUGGAAUAGAUCUUAUCAUAUAAGUUGCCGAACGAGGAAAGAUUCAAAGAUUUAGCAAAUUAUUGAAUGAUAGAGUAAAUAAUGGUUCACAUUUUUCUGUGGCCCAUAACUAGCCAUUAACUUUAUCAUUUUUGAAGGCAUAAAACGACUCCGAAUUACUGAAGUGUAGAGUAUGCUGCUAUAUGUUCUCUUCUUUUUUAUAUUAAACUGCCCCUUGUUAGUAAGGGUGUUAUAUAUCUUGAAAAUAAGUACAAAAGGGGAGCUUGGUCUUACCCCUCAGAAUAUAACACAAAGAUAAAAUAAUUUAUGCUUUGCAAAAGGAGAGUUAGGAGAUUAAGCUAGAUCUUUGCAACGGGCCAGCAACUUGUGCAUAUAGAAUUGACUUCAACUUCAAAGAACUCCUUGUACAAUUAAUCUUCUAAAUUAGUGAUAUUUGGUCAUUUAGCUUUAGCAAGUAACGAGAAUCUAAGAUAAGUUUGGUGGUGACAUGUUUUUUAUGGUUAUUCUUUAAUUAGUUACUUCUUAGUUUCUCUUUUCUACUUUAAGUAACUCUUGUGAUUAAAUGUCAUCUAUAAGAGAGCAUCUACAGGUUAAAAAUUGUGUGUUGUUUCAUCUUAUUUAUUGAGUUAACUGCUUGAGCGUGCUUCGAAAAUUAAAUUUACUUUCUGGAUACAAAUGUAAUCCAUCCACUGUCAUGUAUCUAACCCAUCCAUUGGUAAUUUUUUCAGAAUUGGAGAACUGCAAAAUGAUGUCUAGUGUCAUUCAAUUAUACCAAGUUCUACAAUAAUAUGCCUUCUAUACAAAAGUUGAUUCUUUUAACAUACUCAUUAGCAGUGGUAACUCAGUUUCUGAAUUCUAAUAGCAGAAGUAUUUGGUUUCUGAUCUUCUGUGUAAGGAGUUCCUCCAAUAGUUUUUUGGAAAUAUUGAAAAUAACUGUUAGAAUAUGUUUCAUUGUUUCAUAUUCUUCCCUUUUACUUUUGAUCCAAGGCUUCAGAAUCUGUGAUGAGAAACCCAUCCAUUGUAACUAUUUUAAGUUGAUGUACUAACUAAAAUUUUAUGAUUUCUUGCUAUGUGAAGAUAAUGAGUAUGGAUAAGGUAGAAGGGUCAUGAUUGUUCCAUUCAUGAAAUAAAAAACAAAUGUCAUGAUAUCUUUGUUACAAGACCUACCUGAAAAGUGGUUUAGGAGAUUUUCUCAUUCGAUGUUCUAGUUUUAUGGAAUAAAGUAUAUGUAUGAGGUUUUAUGCUUGGAACUAAAAUCAGGAAAUCAAUCUGGAUUCUUUUUAAUCAAGGAAAAUCAAUAUUGAAUUAGAAUUUCGAUACUCUAGAGCUUGAGCUUUAUGAGAUAGAGAAUCAUUUUCUCCUUGCUUGGACAUUCUCUUGCCUUGCUAUGAUGAGUUCUGUUAUUACACUGAGAUGACCUUUUUUCAAUUACAGUCUACAAGCUGGAGUCUGAAGAACCCCCCACCACCCUUGAAGAAAGUGCAGAACAAUGGAAGCAAUUGGAGAAGUUAAAGAAUAACUUGAAGCACAGGAGGGACCUACUUAUAUUUUGUUUCAAUCUGUUUAGACAUGUCACAUGUGUCGAAGCUACAAUUUGAAUCUAUUGUUUGGAGUUGAGCAAAUAUAAUUUCAUGUAAUCUGAAUGUGUAUAAUUGUUUUUAGUAAUGUGAUGACUUAAUUCCUUUCAA